rnacentral:misc_RNA from 1 species
GCGACUAUCUGAAAUGGCCCAUAAUAGCUUGCUGAUAACUUGAGUGACCUUGAAACUGCAAUAGAAACUUGUCUGUUAGGCUGCAACCUCAAAUAUACCGAAUCUCCAACCUGGAACUCUUUUUUUGCUCUUUUCUUAUCUGCUUGUUGUUUCAUUCUAUGUUGGGCCUUAGUUAAAUUCUCUCGUAUAAUUUCUGUCAUAUGCUGUCUCUCCUGAAGUAAAUUAGUAACAGCCUGAACAGGAGUGGAAUCAGGAAAGGGA